UGGGGAAUUUUGGACAAUGGGCGAAAGCCUGAUCCAGCAAUGCCGCGUGUGUGAAGAAGGCCUUCGGGUUGUAAAGCACUUUUGUCCGGAAAGAAAUCCUUGGCUCUAAUACAGUCGGGGGAUGACGGUACCGGAAGAAUAAGCACCGGCUAACUACGUGCCAGCAGCCGCGGUAAUACGUAGGGUGCAAGCGUUAAUCGGAAUUACUGGGCGUAAAGCGUGCGCAGGCGGUUUGCUAAGACCGAUGUGAAAUCCCCGGGCUCAACCUGGGAACUGCAUUGGUGACUGGCAGGCUAGAGUAUGGCAGAGGGGGGUAGAAUUCCACGUGUAGCAGUGAAAUGCGUAGAGAUGUGGAGGAAUACCGAUGGCGAAAGCAGCCCCCUGGGCCAAUACUGACGCUCAUGCACGAAAGCGUGGGGAGCAAACAGGAUUAGAUACCCUGGUAGUCCACGCCCUAAACGAUGUCAACUAGUUGUUGGGGAUUCAUUUCCUUAGUAACGUAGCUAACGCGUGAAGUUGACCGCCUGGGGAGUACGGUCGCAAGAUUAAAACUCAAAUGAAUUGACGGGGUCAUAGCUGUUUCCU
rnacentral:rRNA from 1 species